AUACAAUUAAGUUCCAGCCAAUGAGACUUGAGUGGAAGUAAGAUGAAAUCUCUGUGGCGUGCCUUUAAAAGGAUAGGGAAAUAUCCUUUCUGUAAAUCUUUUCUUCUCUCCGGCUGCCUAGAAUAUACACAAAAUGACAAGAGUUCCAGCUCUUCCUGAUACCACGAGCAGCCUUGGAAAUGGAAACCAUGCAUGAAGUAUUAAAGCUCUGAAAACUCCUGGAUCUUCUGGCAAGCUUUUUUGUGACAGCUGUAGCAACCAACAAGCAUUGUUACUUCAAGGAAGCAAAGUGUGCAUAUAAA
rnacentral:lncRNA from 10 species